CAGCGGCUAACCAUGGUCCAUAUGCUCAGCUUACCUUGGAAGCCUUUUGGCAAAACAUUUGGAGCAUUAAACUCCCAAGCAAAUCGGCUCUCAGCUAUUUUGAAUCCUUUAAUGAAGCCAAUGUAUCUUGGCAUAUAGAGAACACCAGACCUGAUUCUGCUAAUUUAUGGGAACCUCCCCCGUGGAGUUUUUUAAAGCCAAUUUUGAUGCUGCAAUCCAAUAGAGAGGCUCUGUAGUUAUUUUUCGAGAUCAUAGUGGAACGAUCCUGAUUUGGACUUGCAAACUCUUCCCACACUAGACAGAUCCCUUGAUUCUGGAAGGCUUAGCUUGCAAAGAGGCUCUUAUUGUUGCG
rnacentral:lncRNA from 1 species